GGAUGUGAGGGCGAUCUGGCUGCGACAUCUGUCACCCCAUUGAUCGCCAGGGUUGAUUCGGCUGAUCUGGCUGGCUAGGCGGGUGUCCCCCUCCUCCCUCACCGAUCCAUGUGCGUCCCUCGUCCCUCCCGAAGCUGCGCGCUUGGUCGAAGAGGACGGCCUCCCGAUGACCUUCUCCCCCCGCCCCCAGGAGAGGACCGGUCUUCGGUCAAGGGUAUACGAGUGGCUGCGCUCCCCUGCUAGAACCUCCAAACAAGCUCUCAAGAUAAUAUUCUUUGGGGAAAAUAUUAUCUCUUCAGUUUAACCCUUUACUCAAAGAUUAAUUAAACUAGAUUUUAAUUAAUUU
rnacentral:snRNA from 1 species